rnacentral:rRNA from 1 species
AGUGAACGCUGGCGGUAGGCCUAACACAUGCAAGUCGAACGGCAGCACAGUAAGAGCUUGCUCUUACGGGUGGCGAGUGGCGGACGGGUGAGGAAUACAUCGGAAUCUACUUUUUCGUGGGGGAUAACGUAGGGAAACUUACGCUAAUACCGCAUACGACCUACGGGUGAAAGCAGGGGAUCUUCGGACCUUGCGCGAUUGAAUGAGCCGAUGUCGGAUUAGCUAGUUGGCGGGGUAAAGGCCCACCAAGGCGACGAUCCGUAGCUGGUCUGAGAGGAUGAUCAGCCACACGGGAAGUGAGACACGGUCCAGACUCCUACGGGAGGCAGCAGUGGGGAAUAUUGGACAAUGGGCGCAAGCCUGAUCCAGCCAUACCGCGUGGGUGAAGAAGGCCUUCGGGUUGUAAAGCCCUUUUGUUGGGAAAGAAAAGCAGCAGGUUAAUACCCCGCUGUUCUGACGGUACCCAAAGAAUAAGCACCGGCUAACUUCGUG